UCCCUCAAGCCGGAUUUGAAUCAGCGACCUAAGGAUCACCGUUGUACAUCUACAGUCCUCCGCUCUGCCAACCGAGCUAUCGAGAG
rnacentral:tRNA from 1 species